GCCGCGGUAAUUCCAGCUCCAAUAGCGUAUAUUAAAGUUGUUGCAGUUAAAAAGCUCGUAGUUGAAUUUCGGGAUCAGUACGCUGGUCAUGCCUUUGGUAUGCACUGGUGUCACUGGUUUCUCCCUUCUGAAGAACCGUGAUGUCAUUAAUUUGGUGUCGCGGGGAAUCAGGACUGUUACUUUGAAAAAAUUAGAGUGUUUAAAGCAGGCUCGCGCUUGAAUACAUUAGCAUGGAAUAAUGAAAUAGGACGUUGAUCCUAUUUUGUUGGUUUCUAGGAUUGACGUAAUGAUUAAUAGGGAUAGUUGGGGGCAUUAGUAUUCAAUUGUCAGAGGUGAAAUUCUUGGAUUUAUUGAAGACUAACUACUGCGAAAGCAUUUGCCAAGGAUGUUUUCAUUAAUCAAGAACGAAAGUUAGGGGAUCGAAGACGAUCAGAUACCGUCGUAGUCUUAACCAUAAACUAUGCCGACUAGGGAUCGGAUGAUGUUAUUUU
rnacentral:rRNA from 1 species